GUUAUUAUUUUAUCGAAUGGAUAAAUCUAUCACACCGUUCUGAGCCAAAAAUCCUUUAUUGCACGCGCUUACAAUAACUAGGGAUAAAAAUAAAAAAGCACCUUAAGCCUAAUCGAUUAAAUCUAUCGAUUAUAACUAGGAUCAUCCUCUAGUUACUAUUUCUUAUAACUAACGCAUCCACAUAUGGAUGGCGAGCACGAAGACACGUUGUCAUUUUCAACAUACUCUAACAACUAUUUCUAAUUACUCGUAUUGUCAGUAGGCUGCGGAUUUUUGUGCAUUUAUAAGAGAUUAAAAAUUGCAGAAAUAUACAGAGAAAUAUACAAAACAUCCAAAGUAUAGCACACGUGAUAAUAUUCAAUAGAUGAGAUAAAUUUCUAUUUAGAUCGUAUCUGAGAAUCUGCAGUCUAACUAUCAGUGAUAUUAAUGGAAAUUAUAGAAUCAAACCAAGACAAAAAGUUCCGCCAUUCGUAAUGAUUACCUUUAAUAAAAAGUACUAUUAACUAGACUACGGAUUUUUAUGCAUUUAUGGGAAAUUUGAAGCUGCAAACAUGCGAAAUCCAAAGUACGUAUCUCACCUAACUGACAUUUAUAGCGCAGGUGCAAUCUACGUUUGAAGUGGAUGAUACGUAACUUUUGAACGGCGUGUGUCUGGUAUGCAAUACGAUGUUCAUAAACCAUUGAUUAGGGGAGUAUGUAAUAUGGCGACUGUGUGAGCUGAAUGUAGCAAUUCUGCCAGGAUCAAUACGGUCUUGGCAAAAAUGCUCAUCCUUAGACAUCAGCUCUGUUAGUAAGAAUCUUUCAUAAGAGAAUAGAAUCUUUCAUAAUAUAUUCACACACAUACGUGCAUACGUACGUAAAAUGAUUUACGACAAUUAAAAUGCAAAGUCUUCUUAUUCCAAUAUCUUAUAUUAAUAACACAAACAAUACAUUACAGCAAUACAUUAUUUUAUGUUAAAAAAGGAGUCAUUUAUACAAUUUUACGUAUAUUACGUAUGUAUACUUUCUUUGAUGCUUGAAAUUAUGUGCAAGCAAUAGCAAAUGUACACAAAUGUGCACAGAUGUGAACAAAUGUACAAAUGGAAAGAGAAUCUUUUUUGCAGAAAUUUGCAACUAAAAGUAAUUUUCUUUAUUAUUGCUCUUUAAAAUCUUAGACGCCUAUAGAAACAGAAAUUGGACUACUAUAGAUCCCAAGAAAAAUUAAGAGAAAUAAUAUCUAUAAUAUCUGUCUGCUAUGUCGUUUUAAUUGCUUCUGAGUGACUCGAGGGACAGGAAUUUUCAUUUGAAGAAAUAUCGAAAUGGUAAAAAUUCCGAAUAAAAUGUUUUUAAAGCCGUGUUGCUCGUCCCGGUGGAUUUUAUAUUUCAGAUUUCCCUAUUUUAUCUGCGAGAACAACAGAGGAACCUCAGCUAGCGAUCCCAAAAUAUUCAACGUGUAGAACACCUUCCAAAAUUAGAUUUAAUUCUGCGACCUCCUCUUACAAAGACAUGAAAUAAAGCGCGAACUGGGACUAGAAAAUCGAAAUAUGCGAAGGCAAAUUUCAGUGUAAAUUUCGUAGAUAAAAAUAUAGAUCGACAAAAGGAUACAUAUGUAUUUGAAGAAUAAUGAUUAAACCUACUCCAUCCUAAAUUUUCCUAAAUUUUGAUUUGAAAAUUUUCAUCAAAACGAAAUCAAAUCAAAUUUGUUAAAUUCUAUAUAAAAAUGUUUUAUGUCUUUUGUUAUUUUUCUUCUAGAAAUAAUAUAAAAUAUGUAACUUUAUCAUCAUCUUUAAAUAGCAAAUAAUUUGAAUUUGAA